UGAGGAAUCUUCCGCAAUGGGCGCAAGCCUGAUGACGCAACGCCGCGUGGGGGAUGAAGGUCUUCGGAUCGUAAACCCCUGUCGAAUGGGACGAAAGACUCGCGAGUGAAUACUUCGCGAGAGUGACGGUACCGUUAAAGGAAGCCACGGCUAACUCUGUGCCAGCAGCCGCGGUAAUACAGAGGGUGCGAGCGUUAAUCGGAAUUACUGGGCGUAAAGCGCACGUAGGUGGCGACGUAAGUCGGGUGUGAAAGCCCCGGGGUCAACCUGGGAAUUGCAUUCGAGACUGCAUUGCUGGAGUACGGAAGAGGAGGGCGGAAUUCCCGGUGUAGCGGUGAAAUGCGUAGAUAUCGGGAGGAACAUCAGUGGCGAAGGCGGCCCUCUGGUCCAGUACUGACACUCAAGUGCGAAAGCGUGGGGAGCAAACAGGAUUAGAUACCCACGUAGUCCCUGAGCGGGCUGGCAAGGCGCAU
rnacentral:rRNA from 1 species